rnacentral:misc_RNA from 1 species
GAUGAAGAACGUAGCGAAAUGCGAUACGUAAUGUGAAUUGCAGAAUUCAGUGAAUCAUCGAGUCUUUGAACGCACAUUGCGCCCCCUGGUAUUCCGGGGGGCAUGCCUGUCCGAGCGUCAUUGCUGCCCUCAAGCACGGCUUGUGUGUUGGGCCCCGUCCUCCGAUUCCGGGGGACGGGCCCGAAAGGCAGCGGCGGCACCGCGUCCGGUCCUCGAGCGUAUGGGGCUUUGUCACCCGCUCUGUAGGCCCGGCCGGCGCUUGCCGAUCAACCCAAAUUUUUAUCCAGGUUGACCUCGGAUCAGGUAGGGAUACCCGCUGAACUUAAGCAUAUCAAUAAGUGGAGGA